UAUAUACUCCCUCCGUUCGGAAUUACUUGUCGUAGAAAUGGAUGUAUCUAGAUAUUUUUUAGUUCUAGAUACAUCCAUUUCUGUGAUAAGUAAUUCGAAACGGAGGGAGUACGUA
rnacentral:pre_miRNA from 1 species